rnacentral:lncRNA from 1 species
UAUUGAGGAAUCACCUAUGAAUUUAAAUAAUAAUAUAAGGAAUCAUAAGUAUUCACUUUUAUUCAUUUUCAUAAGCAUAAAGGCUCAAUUUACCCGGUGAAUGAAAAUGUAAAAUGAAAACGGUACAAUUAAAAUGAUUUUAGGAAUUUAAUUAAUUAACAAGAAAUAGACAAUAAAAUAUUUCUGUGAAUUGUUAAAAUUGAGAAAACAUCUUUGGUGUUUAUUGUCCAUAUUUCUAUCUCUACUUUGAUUCUCUUCAUCGUUCCUGAAGCUGGAGAGAGAAAGUUUUGGCCUUUCAGGUUGUAUAUCUACAUAUUGCUAAUCCUUGAUUCUCUUCAACGGUCUUCUUUGAGUCUCAUGCAAUAACUAAGAAGCCAGACGUUUAAAUACUUGUCAAUGAAUUGUUUUAUCUAGAAAUUGAUCGUCUUGUAAUAAAUGAGAAAAUCGAUCAUCAUUUUCCAAAAACCCAUAUACUUCUCCGCAGCUCCUUUAUUAUUAUUAUUCUUGGCUUCUCCCUUUCUAAAUCUUUUGAGAAGUCUAAAAUGGUAAAAAACAAAGUAUAAAGUAAAAACAGUAAACCUAUAAUCAAAGAGUGAGCUUUCCAACUUCUGUCAUUGAGAAUUUUGAUCUCGGUCAUGCCCCAUAUGCAUAUAACACAAUCGAAUCUGGCUAAUUUCACUUGAAAAAAAGAGGUAAGAAUUUCAGUAAAAUAAUUGUUAAUUUCCACUCCUUCAUUUAAAAACACCAAAUGCGACGAGAGAAUCCACAUGGCAAUCACUUUCUUCCAGUUCUACUCAUCGGGACCUUUCCAUCAGGAAUGUUACAAUAACUUUUUAAUCAGUUUAAAAAAAAAAAUUGACAAGCUGGAAAGGACAACUUGCGCCAAUGUUCUUUUCUUUUCUAAUAAUAUUAAGCAAAAGCACCAAUAUCAGUCAGUCAAGAUCCUCGACGUGAUUGAUCUUAUUAUUCAAAAAUUUGUCUACCACGUCAAUGAUGACGUACUUAAUGGAAGGUUUGGUUAGAUAUUGAUUAAUUAGUGUAAAAUAAAAGCCAUGUGAUCUAAGUACAAUGUAAUGUCUCAAUGCAGAGAAUGUUAGGUACAGAAAUAUAAAGCCAAAGGAACACGAGAAGAAGCGGCUAAUCAAAAUUAAUUAAGACCUAAUACGUAUGAACCCCCACCCCACGUGGCAUUAGGGAGAAAGAUUAAUGGGUUCUUGGAAAAGGGAAAUAAUUUUAGAUGAGCCUAAUCGAGAUAUUUCAAAGAAGAAUCGGGAUUUCCUUGAAUACAAUGCGCGCCUUGGCUUAAUGGACCGUUAUUAGUUUUUAAUCUUCCACAUAAGAAGAGGAAGUCGGGAUUAAGAAGCCAUUAAUCUUUUUACCAAACAUUUUCGGUUCAUAUGUUAAAAAAAAAAAAAUUAUCAGCUCCCCUACUGAAAUUUAUAUAUACCAUUUAUCCUUUACUGUUUUGCUAAUAAUCAAUAACCCCAUUAGCACAUAAAAAUUUUAAGAAAAAGAUAGAUAAAUUGAUCAUUUACUUGCUUGAUAUUUG